CGGUAAUUCCAGCUCCAAUAGCGUAUACUAACGUUGUUGCAGUUAAAAAGCUCGUAGUUGGAUUUCUGAUCUUUGCCAAUGGUUGUGUCGCCGCGUGCGAGGCGCCUUGCGCAGAGGUCAACAUAUGUCACGAGCCAGUGUGAUCUAUUCAUUUAGGUCCACUGGGUAAUGACUCGUUUACUUUGAGAAAAUUAGAGUGUUCAAAGCAGGCAUUUGCCUUGAAUAUGUUAGCAUGGAAUAAUAGCAUAGGACUUCGGUUCUAUUUGUUGGUUGUUCGAGAACUGGAGUAAUGAUUGAUAGGGACGGUUGGGGGCAUCCGUAUUCUCAAGCGAGAGGUGAAAUUCUUGGACCUUGGGAAGACGAACAGCUGCGAAAGCGUUUGCCUAGGACGUUCUCUUUAAUCAAGAACGAAAGUUGGGGGAUCGAAGACGAUCAGAUACCGUCGUAGUCUCAACUAUAAACUAUGCCAGCUAGGGAUCGGUGGGUCUUUGUCACGAGUCCAUCGGCACCUUACGAGAAAUCAAAGCAUUUGGGUUCCGGGGGGAGUAUGGUCGCAAGGCUGAAACUUAAAGGAAUUGACGGAAGGGCACCACCAGGAGUGGAGCCUGUGGCUUAAUUUGACUCAACACGGGAAAACUUACCAGGUCCGGACAUAGUAAGGAUUGACAGAUUGAAAGCUCUUUCUUGAUUCUAUGGGUGGUGGUGCAUGGCCGUUCUUAGUUGGUGGAGUGAUUUGUCUGGUUAAUUCCGUUAACGAACGAGACCCGCGCCUGCUAAAUAAUCGGCCUCACUUCUGUGGGUGUUGUACUUCUUAGAGGGACCAUCCUGGGUAUACCGGAAGGAAGUUGCGGGCAAUAACAGGUCUGUGAUGCCCUUAGAUGUUCUGGGCUGCACACGGGCUACACUGCAAGAUACAACAAGCGUCGAUCACGCCUGACUGGAAGGUCCGGCCAAUCUUUGAAUAUCUUGCGUGAUUGGGAUAGACCAUUGCAAUUAUUGGUCUUCAACGAGGAAUUCCUAGUAAACGCGUGUCAACAACACGCAUUGAUUACGUCCCUGCCCCUUGUACACACCGCCC
rnacentral:rRNA from 1 species